AAGCAUAACAGAGUGUCGUCAAUAGUGUCAGGGACUGGUGCUUGUCCAUGGGAUUGGUCUCAAGUUGGGCCAGUUAUUGGUCGGCCAUUCCCUUUGUCUCUGCUCCAUCUUUGUCCCUGCAUUUCUUGACAGGACAAACUUCGGGUCAAAGUUUUGUGGAUGGGUUGGUGCCCAUCUACUGGGUCCUGCCAGGCUGCUGCUGAUGUCAACAAGGGCAUAAGCUCAUGGUGGCAACCAUCUCACCCGGGCCAUACAUGAAGGACAGAAACAGUGUGCUCACAGAAGAAACACUACAUGUACACACAGUGCUUUAGUCAAACACUUGGGAAGUGGAUGGCUUACACACACAACCCCAUGUGCAACUUGUCAUGCACUGGCAGUCACACUCAAAAAGGGAUCCUCUGCAGGUGAACCACUUCAGAGAAGAUAUAGCUGCUGGUAAAUGGCUUUGGUUUCCAGACACAAUUUUCCAACUUCACAUUCACAGAUAAACAAAACAGAAGUGAUGGUUUGUAUAUGCUUGGCCCAGGGAGUGACACUAUUAGGAGGUGUUGGAGUAUGUGUGUCACUGUGGGUGUGGGCUUAAGACCUUCACCCUAGCUGCCUGGAAGUCAGUAUUCUGCUAGAAGCUUUCAGAUGAAGAUGUAGAACUUUCAGCUCCUCCUGCACGAUGCCAGCCAGAAUCCCAACAUGUUCCACCUUGAUGAUAAUGGACUGAACCUCUGAACCUGUAAGCCAGCCCCAAUUAAAUGUUGUCCUUAUAAGA
rnacentral:lncRNA from 1 species